CUUCUGGCAAAAUGAUGGGAAAUUCACUGCUGUCAGAAUUAUUUCUUCCUAUUAUUCAUUGAUUGGAAGUUUGAAUUCUCCUUCCAUCAGUUGCUGCUGCUGCUAAGUCACGUCAGUCGUGUCCGACUCUGUGCGACCCCAUAGACGGCAGCCCACCAGGCUCCCUCGUCCCUGGGAUUUAAAUCACAUGGCAGGAAACACAGUGAACCCCUCUGGAGCCUCAGCCACAAGACAGAUACCACAGUGACUCUCUCUGCUUCAAAGCAAAUAUGCCGAGGAAGAGACGCAUCAGCCCGGCUUGGGGCAUAGUCCAUCUUCACACGAGUCUGGAAGUGACUCAGAAUCAUGUUAUUUAAAAUGAUGAAUGGAUAAUCGUGGGGAGUGUGCGUGUGUUGUAGGUAAGCUCCUUUGCAAGGAAUUACCACUGCUGCCUGUCUCAGUCUUUUUAUUUUUUUUUAUAAAUAGAGAUCUCAAAAUGUCGUGAAUGGAUAUUUCUAUG
ensembl:lncRNA